AUCAUUUCCCCCCCCAAAAAAAUCUAUUCUUAUCAGUUUAAUAUCUGAUACGUCCCCUAUCUGGGGACCAUAUAUUAAAUUGAUUUUUGGAACAGGGAGAUGGAAUAGGGGCUUGCUUCGUCCACUCUAUGUAUCGACCUGGUAUUACAGUACUUCCAGGAACGGUGCACCCGCC
rnacentral:snRNA from 1 species